CAGAGAUGGUGUUUCGCUGUGUUGGCCAGGCUUGUCUUGAACUCCUGACCUUGGGUGAUCUACCCACCUCAGCCUCCCAAAGUGCUGGGAUUACAGGCAUGAGCCACCAUGCCUGGCCUGUAACUGAAUUUUAAAUAUCGGCUAGACUUCAAGAAAAAAAAAAUCAAUUGUGUUGUCCCUUACAAUUUUAUAGGAGAAUAAACUACUAAGGCAA
rnacentral:lncRNA from 1 species